rnacentral:rRNA from 1 species
UACGAAGGGGGCUAGCGUUGUUCGGAAUUACUGGGCGUAAAGCGUGCGCAGGCGGUUCGUGAUGUCUGGUGUGAAAGCCCCGGGCUUAACCUGGGAAUUGCAUUGGAAACUAGCGGGCUGGAGUGUGGCAGAGGGGGGUGGAAUUCCACGUGUAGCAGUGAAAUGCGUAGAGAUGUGGAGGAACACCGAUGGCGAAGGCAGCCCCCUGGGCUAACACUGACGCUCAUGCACGAAAGCGUGGGGAGCAAACAGG